rnacentral:rRNA from 1 species
UACGAAGGGGGCUAGCGUUGUUCGGAAUCACUGGGCGUAAAGGGCGCGUAGGCGGCCUGAUAAGUCGGGGGUGAAAGCCUGUGGCUCAACCCCAGAAUUGCCUUCGAUACUGUUAGGCUUGAGACCGGAAGAGGUAAGUGGAACUGCGAGUGUAGAGGUGAAAUUCGUAGAUAUUCGCAAGAACACCAGUGGCGAAGGCGGCUUACUGGUCCGGUUCUGACGCUGAGGCGCGAAAGCGUGGGGAGCAAACAGG